rnacentral:snRNA from 1 species
AUACCUUUCUUGGCUUUUUGGCUAAGAUCAAGUGUAGUAUCUGUUCUUAUCAGAUAUAUGGGUCAUGUGUCCACGGAUAUUAAAUUAAUAUUUUAUGGAGGAGGGCCCACCAUAGUAGCUCGCUACUGGGUCCCUCGCGUCGAAUCGGGAUCCUCUGAUUCACCACCGUGU